rnacentral:rRNA from 1 species
UACGAAGGGUGCAAGCGUUAAUCGGAAUUACUGGGCGUAAAGCGUGCGUAGGCGGUUUGUUAAGUCUGUUGUGAAAUCCCCGGGCUCAACCUGGGAAUGGCAAUGGAUACUGGCAAGCUAGAGUGUGAUAGAGGAUGGUGGAAUUCCCGGUGUAGCGGUGAAAUGCGUAGAGAUCGGGAGGAACAUCAGUGGCGAAGGCGGCCAUCUGGAUCAACACUGACGCUGAGGCACGAAAGCGUGGGGAG